AGAUUGAACGCUGGCGGAAUGCUUUACACAUGCAAGUCGAACGGCAGCACGGGGGCAACCCUGGUGGCGAGUGGCGAACGGGUGAGUAAUACAUCGGAACGUGCCCAGUCGUGGGGGAUAACUACGCGAAAGCGUAGCUAAUACCGCAUACGAUCUACGGAUGAAAGCGGGGGAUCGCAAGACCUCGCGCGAUUGGAGCGGCCGAUGGCAGAUUAGGUAGUUGGUGGGGUAAAGGCUCACCAAGCCUGCGAUCUGUAGCUGGUCUGAGAGGACGACCAGCCACACUGGGACUGAGACACGGCCCAGACUCCUACGGGAGGCAGCAGUGGGAAUUUUGGACAAUGGGCGCAAGCCUGAUCCAGCCAUUCCGCGUGCAGGAUGAAGGCCUUCGGUUGUAAACUGUCUUUUGUACGGAACGAAAGUCCCGUUUACUAAUACAAGUAGGUCAUGACGGUACGUAAGAAUAAGCAACGGCUAACUACGUA
rnacentral:rRNA from 1 species